rnacentral:lncRNA from 1 species
AUGAGAGGCAGCAGCUAGAAAUGAAAGAGUAGAAGAAGAGAGUGUCUCCUGACACUGUGUGCAUGGUCUCCAGUCAGCCUCUGAUUCCUCCACUUUCCUCCUGAAUUUCUUCCUUGUGAGUGUCACUUCUGGAAACAAAAGUCAAGUUCUCUAGGUGAACACUGAGUAGCCCCAACCUUCCAGUGAAUUUGAAGUGUAGGAAGUUUUCCUCGUUUAAACUCGGCACAGCCUCCAAUCCCUGGGAAGCAUGCCUCUCUGGUCUCCAACCCACCCAGACUUCCAGUUCCCAGGGCCUGAUUGGUUCAGCACCAAGUGAAGUCAUAGUCACUAUGGUGACUCACAAUUGUCCUCAGAACCUAGUGCCAACAGUCUGCAAGAUUCAAACACUGGCCACCAUGCCUGGCUUCCUUCUGGUUCAAGCCUGAAUAAGGUCCCUCUUCUGUGCUGUCUUCCUGAAGCCAUCUGUGGAGUCAAGCAGUCAUGGCUCAGGGACACUCUGAAGUAGGUCCCAGCACAUCUGCAUGGAGCAUCAGGAGGAAGGUGGAUGAAUACUUAAGACCCAGCCUGGCCUCUAAAUCGGUGCUGAGCGUUUUACUCAGUAGACAGCUUGGGAAUCAUAGAAACGAUGCGGAUCUGACAGAGUGGCUGUGGACACUGAAGCAAGCCAUACCAGGGUGGACCUGGCCUUUGCCGACACGCCACACAAUCAACCCACCUCUGCCCCCUGGGGAGGAUGGAAAAUCCAAGAAAAUGGUGUGGAUCAAUAAAUCCUUCCCCUGAUGCAACCAUUA